GCCAGACUCCUACGGGAGGCAGCAGUGGGGGAUAUUGCACAAUGGGGGGAACCCUGAUGCAGCGACGCCGCGUGGGUGAAGGAGCGUUUCGGCGCGUAAAGCCCUAUCGGCAGGGAAGAAGGAGGACGGUACCUGACUAAGAAGCCCCGGCUAACUACGUGCCAGCAGCCGCGGUAAUACGUAGGGGGCAAGCGUUAUCCGGAUUUACUGGGUGUAAAGGGGGCGCAGACGGCAGCGCAAGCCAGGAGUGAAAGCCCGGGGCCCAACCCCGGGACUGCUCUUGGAACUGCGCGGCUGGAGUGCAGGAGGGGCAGGCGGAAUUCCUGGUGUAGCGGUGAAAUGCGUAGAUAUCAGGAGGAACACCGGUGGCGAAGGCGGCCUGCUGGACUGCGACUGACGUUGAGGCCCGAAAGCGUGGGGAGCAAACAGGAUUAGAUACCCUAGUACCA
rnacentral:rRNA from 1 species